rnacentral:tRNA from 1 species
AGCCUGGAGUUAUCACAGAUUGCUCGUCGGGCUCAUAACCCGAAGGUCGCUGGUUCAAAUCCAGCCCCCGCUA